AUUUAAAUAGUUUAAUGAAAAUUUUAGUUUGUGGUACUAAAGAUGCAGUAGUUUUGCUUUAAAUU
rnacentral:tRNA from 1 species